UGUCCUUGACUGGCAACAAUUACAGUUAAAUUCAAGUUUAUUUUAAUAGUGAGUUUCACAAUAGACAUUGUCUCAAAGUAUUUUACAGAAUGUAAGAAUUACAGAGCGUGUGUGUGUGUGUGUGUGUGUGUGUGUGUGUGUGUGUGUGUGUGUGUGUGUGUGUGUGUGUGUGUGUGUGUGUGUGUGUGUUUCAUGUAGGAAUCCUUCUGAUGGAUUGAUGUUACUGGUUAGCAUUACUCUCAGAGACAGAUUUUCACUGAGCAUGCUCUUUUCUGUGUUUUGGGGUGGGGUGGGGUGGAAUGGGCGGGGCAGGGUGGGGUGGAAUGGGCGGGGCAGGGCGGGGCGUUGUCAGGUCUAAAGGACAUGUGUUACUUGGAGAUUUCUAGAAAGGGGUGUGGCUUAUGUAGCAGUAUCUCACACCCUUAUUGGACCAUGGAGGGUUUCGAGGGUGGGGUUUGAGCUUUGCAGUGACAUUUUGUAUUUGAUAUAAUCCCUCUACUUUAUCGUAUUUGCGAUUAAACUCCUUUCGGAUUUCUCGAUCCUUCCACCCCUCUUCCUCAGAUGACUUCACUGUGCAAUUAUUUGUGCGCCCCUCUGGUACACUUCUUCCCCUGUCUUUAGCUGUAAUUGGUGCUUUAGGCAAGAUCAUGAAAAAGAAAUGUGUUGCUUUUAGUGUCGAGGUGGCAUUUGUGGCAGGCUCCAUGUUUGCAUCAGUACUAUAAGUGAACUUGUGUUUUUUUUGUUUGUUUGUUUUUAUAAAUAUAUAAUGCUGUCUGAAAGGCACUGGACAGCAGGGAAAACUGAA